rnacentral:rRNA from 1 species
GACGAACGCUGGCGGCGUGCUUAACACAUGCAAGUCGAACGGUAAGGCUCCAGCUUGCUGGGGUACACGAGUGGCGAACGGGUGAGUAACACGUGGGUGACCUGCCCUGCACUUCGGGAUAAGCCUGGGAAACUGGGUCUAAUACCGGAUAGGACCAUGGUGUGGAUACUGUGGUGGAAAGUUUUUUCGGUGUGGGAUGGGCCCGCGGCCUAUCAGCUUGUUGGUGGGGUAAUGGCCUACCAAGGCGGCGACGGGUAGCCGGCCUGAGAGGGUGGACGGCCACAUUGGGACUGAGACACGGCCCAGACUCCUACGGGAGGCAGCAGUGGGGAAUAUUGCACAAUGGGCGGAAGCCUGAUGCAGCGACGCCGCGUGGGGGAUGACGGCCUUCGGGUUGUAAACUCCUUUCACCAUCGACGAUGGGUUUCUGACGGUAGAUGGAGAAGAAGCACCGGCUAACUACGUG